GACGAACGCUGGCGGCGUGCUUAACACAUGCAAGUCGAACGGAAAGGCCCUGCUUUUGUGGUGUGCUCGAGUGGCGAACGGGUGAGUAACACGUGAGUAACCUGCCCUUGACUUUGGGAUAACUUCAGGAAACUGGGGCUAAUACCGGAUAGGAGCUCCUGCUGCAUGGUGGGGGUUGGAAAGUUUCGGCGGUUGGGGAUGGACUCGCGGCUUAUCAGCUUGUUGGUGGGGUAGUGGCUUACCAAGGCUGUGACGGGUAGCCGGCCUGAGAGGGUGACCGGCCACAAUGGGCCUGCGAUACGGCCCAGACUCCUACGGGAGGCAGCAGUGGGGAAUAUUGCACAAUGGGCGGAAGCCUGAUGCAGCAACGCCGCGUGCGGGAUGACGGCCUUCGGGUUGUAAACCGCUUUCGCCUGUGACGAAGCGUGAGUGACGGUAAUGGGUAAAGAAGCACCGGCUAACUACGUG
rnacentral:rRNA from 1 species